CUUCUGCACCACCGCAUACGUGUCGGCCAUGGUGAGGGCCGGGGGCCCAGGCACGGAGAGGCUUCUGCGAGUGGGGAAGGCGGGGGAGGAAGUGAAAUGACUGAGCGGAGGGAGGGGGUGGGGAGUGCGCCUAGCUUGCAAACCGCGGGCUUCCUUCCCACCCAAGGCGCUAGCAGGUCAGGUCGAAGAGAGCAGGUGGGCAGGUCUCAGAGGAGAGAGGAUGGGGUCUCUGGAUGAGGGGAGUUCGGUUCUGUCUCUCGAGCGCCUGGCAAGUUAGCUGCAGGCCGCUGCUUUCUCAUCUCCAGGACCACGUUGAAGAGGCUGAAGUUAGGUGGGAUCAUCUGAGACAGAGAAGGCAAAGGAUCUGCACUAGAGGAACUACAGAACACUUAUGAAAGAAACUGAAGAAGACACAAAAACAUGGAAAACCAUUCCAUGCUCAUGGAUUGGAAGAAUAAACAUUGUUAAAAUGUCUAUACUACCUAGAACAAUCUGUACUUUUGAUGCCAUCCCAAUCAAAAUUCCACCAGCAUUUUUCAAAGAGCUGGAACAAACAAUCAUAAAAUUUGUAUGGAACCAGAAGGGACCCCGCAUUGCUAAGGAAAUGUUGAAAAAGAAAAACAAAACUGGGGGUAUCAUGUUGCCUGAUUUCAAGCUUUACUACAAAGCUGUGAUCACCAAGACAGCAUAGUACUGGCACAAAAACAGAUACAUAGACCAGUGGAGCAGAGUAGAGAGCCCAGAUAUAGACCCACAACUCUAUGGUCAAAUAAUAUUUGACAAAGGAGGAAAAAUUGUACAGUGGAAAAAAGACAGUCUCUUUAAUAAAUGGUGCUGGGAAAAUUGGACAACUACAUAUAGAAGAAUGAAAGUCGACCAUUCUCUUACACCAUACACAAAGAUAAACUCAAAAUGGAUAAAAGACCUCAAUGUGAGGCAGGAAUCUAUCAAAAUCCCAGAAGAGAACAUAAGCAGUAAUCUCUUUGACAUAGGCCACAGCAACUUCUUUCAAGAUAUGUCUCCAAAAACAAAGGAAACAAAAGUAAAAAUGAACUUUUGGGACUUCAUCAGGAUAAGCUUCUGAACAGCAAUGGAAACCAUCAACAAAACAAAGAGGCAACCCACGGAAUGGGAGAAGAUAUUCGCAAAGGACACUACAGACAAAGGGCUGAUAUCCAAGAUCUAUAAAGAACUCCUCAAACUCAACACACACAAAGCAGAUAAUCAUGUCAACAAAUGGGCAAAAGACAUGAAUAGACACUUCUCCAAUGAAGACAUACAAAUGGCUAAGAGACAUAUGAAAAAAUAUUCAUCAUCAUUAGCCAUCAGGGAGAUUCAAAUCAAAACUACUUUGAGAUAUCAACUUACACCAGUUAGAAUGGCCAAAAUUAACAAGACAGUAAACAAUGUGUGUUGGAGAAGAUGUGGAGAAAGGGGAACCCUCUUACACUGUUGGUGGAAAUGCAAGUUGGUGCAACCACUUUGGAGAACAAUGUAGAGAUUCCUUAAGAAAUUAAAAAUAGAGCUUCCCAAGACCCUGCAAUUGCACUACUGGGUAUUUACCCCAAAGAUACAGAUGUAGUAAAAAGAAGGGCCAUCUGUACCCCAAUGUUCAUAGCAGCAAUGGCUAUAGUCACCAAACUGUGGGAAGAACCAAGAUACCCUUCAAUGGAUAAAGAAGAUAUGGUCCAUAUAUAAAAUGGAGUAUUAUGCCUCCAUCAGAAAGGAUGAAUACCCAAUUUUUAUAUCAACAUGGACAGGACUGGAAGAGAUUAUGCUGAGUGAAAUAAGUCAAGCAUAGAGAGUCAAUUAUCAUAUGGUUUCACUUACUUGUGGUGCAUAAGGAAUAACAUGGAGGACACUGGGAGAUGGAGCAGAGAAAUGAGUUGAGGUGGAGACAAACCAUGAGGGACUGUGGACUGAGAAACAAAAUGAGGCUUUUAGAGGGAAGGGGGCUUGGGGGUUGGGUGAGCCUCAUGGUGGGUAUUAUGGAGGGCACGUAUUACAGGGAGUACUGGAUGUGGUGCAUAAACAAUGAAUGCUGGAACACUGAAUAGAAAUAAAAUGAAAAAAAAAAGCACAUUUAUCAUGAUGGUCAUGGAGUAAUAUUUAGAAUUGCUGAAUUACUAUAUUAUACACUUAAACUAAUAUGACACUGUAUGUGAACUAUACUGGAAUUAAAAUAAAAAAUUAAAAAAAUAAGAAAAAGACAAUCUAAAGUAAAAAUAAUAGUGCAUUGUGGAGUAUAUUUCAUAUUUAGAAUUAAAACCUAUGGCAACAGUAACAU